rnacentral:misc_RNA from 1 species
GGCAAAUCAAAUGGCAAAUGAUUAAUUCUAGCAAGAACAAACUAUUGAUAAAGCACAAUCAUCCGACAAAAUAGAAGCAUUAGGAAAUGCUUUCAGACCUCUCUGUGCACCCACAAAUAUUAGCUAUUCAUUAAAGUUCUGAGCUUUGAGUAAUCAAGCAACUGGGUUUUUGGCACAAAUUGCCAAAUGCAAGAAAUAAGGGAAGAGGAGGAUUCAAGCCAAGAAAUAGAAAUGCAAUAAAUAGUAUAGCAUUUAAAAACAAAAUGUGAGAAGAACCAAUAGCCCGGCCAUGCUUUUUGGAGUGGCGGAUUCACUGGGCAAAGAAAUAAGACGCACAUGACAAAAGAAAAUCUGAGAUCUGAUACCAAAUCUUGAAAAACUAAAAUUAUAUAUAUAGUCGCAUUUGCA